UAAGCACCUGUCAAGGAUGGUUUAGGUUUACCUGGGCCUGCCUCAGCACAGGGGGCUGAACUUGAUGACCUCUUGAAGACCCUUCCAAUCCUAAAUUUUAAUGAUUCUAUGUGGACAGCCUUAAUGACUUCAAUAGAACUACUCACUGUGUGCAUAAUUAAGUAUGUGUGUAAGCAUUUGCAGAAUUGGGGCCUAAAUCAUAGUCAAACUGCUUAAAGCUUACAAAUCAGGCCCUAUGGAAUUUUAGAAUGCAUGAUGAGAGAUUCAGUUUUUCAAAUUAGUUUUCUUGAACUUUCUGAGUUCCAAACAAAUCAAAAAAGAAAAGCAUUAUGAAAACUUUGGUGUAAAACAGUUUGGGUUUUUUUGUUUUGUUUUUUUUAAAGUAUUAGUUAAUGCGGCAGGGACUUACUUCUGCACCAAGCCAAAAGUUUUGUUACUAAAUUUUUAAAUAUUUCCCAACAUACAUUUUUGUCCAGAGAAAUUUGAAAAAUGCUGUGUAGAUGGGAGUCAAGUAUUAUUUACAGUGCAAAUCAAGAACCCCUUUUCUCACCAAACACACAUGCCAGGAAUCUGACAUAGGAUUUGAACCGCAACAUUUGAAAAUUAAGGCAAGUAAAGGCUAUUCUCUUUGUCAUCACACUUCCACUUAUAGUGAUAGUUAUUAAGCAGACCCAAUCAAAACAAAAGGGAUACUGUUUCUCUUAUGAGUAAUGCACUAACCUAGCAAAAGAAAAAAGUUCACGUAGAAGGUAUGAGUUCAGACAGCAUAAGAUUUAUUACAAUAGCUACAGAAAUUAUUCCUCCUUAACAGCACUUAAAUUGUCUAAUUAUUCACAGCUGUUUUCAAUUUGUUUCGGGUUCUUAAUUAGGGGGUAAAGUCCUCUGCUGAAGUACUGAACUAACUUUGCAAUAAGCUAAGAAUUACUUCAUGCUAAACCACCCCAAUCCUGGGGCUGAUUAGUGGACUCCACUGCAAGAUAAUUUGUUAUUCAUGCUUAUCCAUCUGCCUCCCACUGGGCUGAGAUAAAGGUUCCGAAAGACACCAUUUCCUUCUUGUUUGUAUAAUUAUUUUGACCCAUCAAGACAAUCAGGUGCUAGCUGAAAAAAAAGGGAGAUAAUGUUUGCUGUCCUUUCAGAGAAAUAAUGUAAGGUAAACAGAUAAAUUUGGGGCCCAGCACCUGAUAAUCUUAAUUAAUCUCUGGAUCUGGAGUUAGGGGAUCCUUGUUAGGCAUAACAGCAGGAGGCUGUGUGCCUGAGGAUUUCUUUGUAAAGCCAAUAGACAUGCAAGUGCAAGUGACUCAUGAGAGGUUUAGACUUCCAGAAAAGAAAUCUUUCUUGAAAGAUCUUGCAUAUGGUCCCAGUCACUGCUGACAUCUGAUGGGGAAGAGGAGGAAGAGAUUACGGUCAAAAGGAAUGAACAUCUUCCUCUUCAUUAAAUAUAAAGACGCCGAUUAACUCAUCUGUGCUGCAAAUAUGUGAAAAACCAGGACUGUGAUUUUUGUAAAGGUGAAAGAACUAAUACAUCUGCUGCAACAACUUCUUGUUGGAGACCUUGAAUCCUAAUUAAGGAGCAGAAGAAAAGCUGACCUUUGAAAGCAGUAAUGUUUAAAUAUUGCAUAUAUCUGAGUAUUUGGAGAGCUGCUAUUGCUUUUUGCUUGGAGAUGUAAACAAAAGAUAAAGCUCUAUUAGUGUAAGUGAAACAUGCUGCAAGCGAAGAAGGAAGCAAUGAAUCAGGUUAUUUGAUUUCUUUAAAAAGAACACAGAAGGAUGUAUUCCUAUUCCGUUGGCUUCUUUCAAAGAGACGCCUGGAUUGUAAAUAUAUCUCUGGUAUGCUAUUUAAUGAAAAAGCAAGAUUAAAAUGGGGAGACUAUAACAAUAACGGAAAAACAGAAAUUCAUGAGCCACGUUCUGUAGCGUAUUUGCCUCCUUUGGGAGAGGAAAAAUAAGGAAGAAUGGAUUGUUAAUGAUUAAAAGUAGAAUAUUUGAUGGAAUUACCAGGCAGCAUAAAUAUGGCCUAAUGGGCUGAUUCUGCAACACUUCCAGUGAGGUGCUGAGCACCCCUCAACUCUGAGAAAAGUCAGAAGGGGCCUAGAUGAGACCCAAUGUUAUGUAGAAAACCUGCAGUGAAGUCACCCAGACC